UCAUGCUGUUACUUUGACUGGUCCGCCUGUGUGUUCCCACAGCGCCGUUUCCUCCCUUUGUCAUCAUUCUGCUGGUUCUGCUCAGUGUGUGUCUGACUAUUGCUACCGUCCUGGUGUAUAAGAACAGACGCUACUUCAAGCAAGCCCGGGCGGCCCAGGAGCAAGAAGAGCAGAAGGAGGAGGAGGAGGAAGAGGAAAAUGAUUAUGGUGAUGACAUAAAGUUGAACUCAGAGGAUUAACAUCAUCAACGUCUCUGGACUCACUAAACAAACAUCAUUUCAGAGGAACUUUAUGUUUUUAAACUAAAAUAAAACUAAUUCCACUGGUUUUAUUUAAAUCUCAGGUUUGGUGGAAAAUUAAACUUAUUGAGUAAGUUUAAAACAUCCAGUUUAAACAUUAAUAUGCACUGAUUUUACUGGAUUUAUGUAAAUAAUCUGUAGUUAAGCUCCAUCUAACAAACUGAUUCAUUUCACUGACUUAGAUUUUUGUUUUAAUUCAGAAAAAGGAAAUACCAGAUCAGCAAUUAAUCAAUUGAUCAUAUGAUGAAUUAAAAUGAUCUGGAUAAUAAUUUUUAAGUGCAGUUUUGUUCAGACUUUAUAAUUUUAAUCAGCCUUUCUGUGAUUUUGUUUAAUUAUGAGAAUAUCAGAAUAAAGACAUAAUUUUAUCAA